rnacentral:rRNA from 1 species
AGGGAAUCUUCCGCAAUGGACGAAAGUCUGACGGAGCAACGCCGCGUGAGUGAUGAAGGUUUUCGGAUCGUAAAGCUCUGUUGCCAGGGAAGAACGUCCGUUAGAGUAACUGCCAGGAGAGUGACGGUACCUGAGAAGAAAGCCCCGGCUAACUACGUGCCAGCAGCCGCGGUAAUACGUAGGGGGCAAGCGUUGUCCGGAAUUAUUGGGCGUGAAGCGCGCGCAGGCGGCUGUUUAAGUCUGGUGUAUAAUCCUGGGGCUCAACUCCGGGUCGCACUGGAAACUGGACGGCUUGAGUGCAGAAGAGGAGAGUGGAAUUCCACGUGUAGCGGUGAAAUGCGUAGAGAUGUGGAGGAACACCAGUGGCGAAGGCGACUCUCUGGGCUGUAACUGACGCUGAGGCGCGAAAGCGUGGGGAGCAAAC